GACAUAGAAGAAUAAUUUUUAUUUGGAACAGUGAAGUUUGUUGGACAAGCUCAGAUAUGGUGAUUAGAAGAUCAUUUACAGAUUUGAAUAGAUUAUUAGGACAGUUUAUCCCUUAUGUUAUCACUAUUACUCCAAACAAGAUAAGCACAAGUGGAUAUUAGUAAAAUUAGUGAAAUGGCAAAUGAGAAUGGCAUAAACUAAUCCACCAAUCACUGGAAAAGAAGGAAUCAAUUAGCCAGCAACUAUGCAUCUAUCCAUUUGCACUUAGGUUUUAUAUGUAUGUUAACACCAUGCUGUUGAAUUUUACCAUGAACAAACUUUGUCCUUUUUUCUUUCAAAAUUAUAUUUUUUGGUUGAAUGAAUAAAAAUGCUAUAGAUUUAUCUUUAGUACUUCUUAUCAAGCAGUAGUGAAUCUCUAGGUUUCCUUUACUCAUUUAGGUUUUUGUUUCACGCCCAAAUGGUGGAAAAUUCUCAAGUGUAUUAUGCACUGAAAGCUCAAAGGUACCCAAAGAUGACACUGCUUCUGGUAUUGAAACUUGGGAUUGGAUUUUGAAUGGCGAGAAGUGUACAUACCAUGCUUUGUUUCCAAGGGCUUGGACAACCUAUGAGGGUGAACCUGAUCCAGAGCUUACAAUUGUUUCUCGCCAAAUUUCACCUUUUAUUCCCCACAAUUAUAAGGAGAGCAGUUUCCCAGUAUCAGUAUUUACUUAUACGUUGUCUAAUAAAGGAAGGACUUCUGCAGAUGUCACCUUGGUCUUUACAUGGGCUAAUUCUGUAGGUGGGAACUCUGGAUUUUCUGGUCAUCACUUCAAAUCAAGAUGGUGUAAGAACAAAAUAGUGGACUUUUAUAAAUGUCUGAUUUUUUUAAGUAUAAGUAGGUUCAACUCUAUCUGUCAGGUUAUGUGGCAGGAGUAAACUAAAUUUCUCCCCCAAUUACAUAACUAGACCUUAAAUAUAGUCUACAGACAAGCUCCAAUCAACUAUGUUGUUGAUAAGUAGUAUUAGCCUAUUAGGGACAUAUUAUUAUAGAGCCCUAACGACCGGAGGAAGUCAUGCCUUCACUUGGAAAAGUUUUGGAGGGUGAAAGUUCCUUCUAGAGUAGUUACUGCUGCAGAAGCACCACAUAGUUCUCUUCGAGUCUCCAAACAAUUGACUCAUUGAGUCUCCAGGCUAGGUGAGAGUAACAUCCCUUUUAAUUACAACUUAGUAAAUUUUAAGCUAAUUAAAGAAUUUAAAGCCCAAUUGUUUAAGUGAUUAGCCAAUUGACAAAAGCAUGCAUGGAUAUAAACAUAAAUGGGGAAGUCUUAUUCAUGUGGGGUAAAGAGCAUCACCGCUGUUCUCCUUCACAAGUUGAAGCCCGGCUCUCCAGUGGGCUGUGCACAGCUAUCCAAGAGAGAUGGAGUUAAGUCAUCUUCGAAGGGGAUGCAAAAAUGUGCUUCGACCCCCUGACUCACCCUGAUAUUAUCCCAAGCUGGCCUCUAAGCACAACCAUUAGUAACAUCUGUAGUUUAACUGCUAGUUUCAAGUUUUUAUAAUUUUGUUGGGUCCGGAGGACUUAUAAUUCUGCAGCACAUGAAACUGCAAAAUUUGCUUUGAACUCCAUUCACCCCUUUUGUUUUUCCAAAGGAAAUCUCCCUCCCUCUCUUGAGGCUGUCUGUAAGGGAGAUUCCCCAGUAUGUUCUUCCUUUUUCAUUUUAAUGAAAUUGCAGAUUAUCAAAAAAAAAUAAAUAAUAAUCCAAAUGACAAAGCCAAAAACCCACAAUAACCCCCCAAAGUGUUUAUAAAGAGGAAGACCUGAGAACAAAGCAGAAAAACCUCUCUAAGGCGCCACUACACCAAACAAUCCACUAGAUAAAAUAAUUGCAAUAAAUCAAUACAAAGCCUUCCAAGCUAUGAAGUAGCAAUGUACUUGAGUCCUCCAAGUUUGCAACCAAUUAUUUGAAUUCUUUCUAUUCUCUAGUCACUGGAUUUGCAAUUUGAGCUGCCAACCGCAUGUUUAAGUCUCCUUGAUCACUCCAAGGCCUCUUGUAGAUUCGGGAUUGCUCUCCAAUGAUUUCCAGCACCAACACACGCUAGAAAACUCUGAAGCUUUCAAUGUGCAUGAUGAUUUGAAUAUCCUCUCAUAAAAUUUGGCAAUUUGAGAGGGAGGGGGUAGAGAGAAUGAGAAGGUUUUAGUUUUAGGGUUUUAGGCCUCUCUCUAGCUCUUCAAUAUGGAUAUUUGACUUACAAAUUUUGUGAGAAAUAAAGGUUAUACAGAGAGGCUAAGGGCUAGAACUAUAGAGAAGUUAUGGUCCAUUUGGAUUGAGGAAGGAGGGGGAGUAGAGCAGAGUAGGGUAGAGUAAAUUUAGCCCAAAUUAGCCUAUUAUCAGCCAACUCUACUUUACUCCCCCUCCUUCCCCCCUCCAUCCAAACGAACCCUUAGUAAUUGAUUUCUCUUAGGUUUCAUCAAUUUCAUUCAAGCCAACAUCAGGAUAGUGUCUGGCAAAAUCACUGCCUCAACAACUUUUCAAAACUGAAUCACAUGUCAUUUCAAUUGAUAGUCUUCAUUUUCGCUUAACCAACUCCAGCUUCAAGACUGGUUAUGUUUGUUGAAAAUCUGUUAUCACCGUGGCCAAAUCAAUGGUUAGCGCUAGCUAGUUAGGUUCAGCCCCUAUUUUCAUAUUAUAUUUGAAACAAAUCACACCAAAUUAAUAUAGAUUAAAGAUUUUCUCUCCAUUUUCAUCUUGAGGCGAUGCAACCCCCUUUGAUAAUCAGGUAUUUGUUCUACUUGACUAGCUCUUGAUUUUACUUGCAUUUCUUUUUAAUUUCAUUUUUGGUGACAAAUAAUGUUUAUUUUAAAUUAAUAAAAAAAAAAAUCUAUUAAUAUUGAAAAUGAUUUUUCUUUGUAAAUAUUGAAAAUAAUGUUAAUACUUAUAGAAGAUGAGAAAAAUAAUAAAGGAUUUCUUGCCUUCUUUGAUGCUUAUAAUUCUGUCUGAUUGGGUUUUUUACAGUCACCUCAAUGUUUUCAUCAAGCUUCCCAUAGAUUUACGAAUUAAUACUUCCAAAGGAGGCAUGGAAAAGUUUACAAGUCAAGUUUUGUAGUCAGCCACC